UCGUCUUCUCUGCGGUGCUCUCUACUCUUUGAACACGCCCCAACCGUGAAAACAGCUGCAGUACAACAACGGCUACGAGGCAGAUUACAAUCUGAUUCAUUCUAUCCUCGAAUUUUUGUCUUCAUCUAUCAAGGUGCAUCGGAGAGGUACAAAAAUUAGCUACUGAUGGUGGUUUCCAUUAAGCCGUGCAUACAAAACAGGGUCUAAUGCUUUAGCAGUUGUGGCAAGAUAUUAUUAAGGAUAUACCUCUUUGUAGCGAUGGAAGGCAAGGAAGUCUUUUUUUCACCCGUCGCAGCCCUAGAAUCAUAGAGCAAGAAGCGGCCAUGAGUUGUUAUAAGUGUUCGUUGCUGAUAGUGUUUUACUUAGCCUUAGAAUCAGCAACCAAGAAGCGGCCACCGGUUGUUGUAAGGCAGAAUUACUGAUAUCGUUUUGCUUACUAUGAUAUGUGAUUACACUCUUUUGGGUGUGUAAAAUUAGUAUAUGUAAUUGAAAAAUUAUUGAAUGAUAUGCUCUGGAACGAAUAGGCAGGCGCAUCGCGCAUGCGUCUAUACCA